GGUGAGCUGGUGACAGAGACGUGACUCGGGGCAGACGGCACGACCGGGGCUGAUGCUGUGCCUGCCUGGCCCGGCCCCGCCGGCGAAGCCUCUCCGGGGCGAGGACCAGCAGCUGGACUGACAAACGAGUGCGAGAGGGGAGGGUAGGUUUAUUGUAUUUUACAGCUCAUUGGAAGAUGCAUGUUGGCAGCCCAGGAUUAGAGGUCUCCUACACAGACAUUUUGGAGGUAAAAUAAUCAACACUGGCAUUGACUACUCCAACUCUAUGGGGGAACUCGAAGUUAAGAAGUGAGGGAGAGUUUUAACUUGGCAUAAUUUCAACACUGUGUGUGACUGGUGGUGACUGCAGCAGUCUUUUGUCUUAUUCAUCUAAUGGAUUUAGAGCAUUGAGAUUCUUUUGUGUUGAAGCUUCAUGAAUCAGCCUGUCUGCUACAGCCUGGGACAAGCACAUCCUCCAAACACAGUUUAUACAGAGUAUAAACCAAAGAAAACACAAGAGACAAGAAAGACACAGACUCAUGGGUACCUUAGAGGGUGCUGGACUAAGAACUGAAAGGUACUCCCAGGUACUCCUGCAGCUCUGAGCCAAUUGAACCUUUGAGCUGUCUUGGGGCAUGACUGUAACUUCCUUAUGAUCCAAACAUGAUUUUCCCAAUUGCCAACUCUGCCAUGUCACCCUGAGACCUGAAAAUAUGUCUGCCAGCUCUCUGCUAGUAAGAAUUUCAGCAGUGAUAUGAUUUCCACUGCUCAGACCUUUCUUGGGAUCUGCUGACUUGGAGGCCCAAGACAGACCUGCUCACUCUUCCGUGGCUGCUUUGGAUGUUGACACACCAACAGUUUGAGCCACAGGAGACCUAAGUAGUCCUCCUACAAUUUGGCACAGUGUUUUCACUACGCUCCUCCCACAGACUUCUGAAACUCACACUGAAAUUUUGGAAAAUCACCUGCAAGCCCAAAAGAAAAUCUUAGGGAAAGCAACGCCACUGUGACCACAUUAUCCUGGAUAUAUGUGAAUAUAAACCCUCAGCCAAUAUCAUGCCUUUCCCAAGCCUAGGAUCAACAGAGAUCAAACUGGAAAUAGAAGCACCUUGUGGGUUGAGGAUAUCUUCAGCCAGAGGAGGAUCAUGGAGCACAUCAGUGCACUGCCCUUUCUGAGACUGCUGGACUUUCUCCACAUGUGAGGAUGUGGGCAAGUGGACAACGUAUCAGCUAACCCCAUCAGCCUAUCAAGGAGAUGCACCACCAAAGUGGAGGGAAAAAUGUUUGCUGGGCCAAGGCUGUAUCCUGUCACCUGUCCUGAAGUACUUCAGAUCACUUUGUCUCAGAACUGAAAUAGGAAGUCACUGAAGUGAAAUGUUAGAAUGUCCUUGAGUCUACAUCAUUUUCAGCAGUGAUGUCCAGGCAUCUAGAGAAUAAAAUAAAAUAAAAUAAUUUUUUUUUAAAAAAAUUAUCAUAAAUUUAGAUUUUUAUCUUCACUCCCACUGAAAGCAGCAGUGUCAAUUAUGUGAUCUGGGAACUGCUGAACAAGGCAGCAGACAUGGACUUCCACACAGGGCAGUUCACCCUUGUUGUCCCUGUUGGUGAUGCUCCUCUCAUCUCCUCCAGGUCAACAUACAAGAUACAGCACCCAGAGGUGCCAUGAAGAGUGGGAGCCUCCCAUGAGGGCCUGUAAGGAAAAGCAGCACCCACUGCCUGCAGCUCCCUCAUGUGUGAUAGAUGGACUAGCUAUGGUGAAAGUGAUUUAAUAUUUACAAAGUCUUUUUCUGAUAUAAUAGAGACUAUUUUUCUUUUUAGAUACAAUUUUGUUUAAUAAAUACUGCUCACACUUACAAACCACAGCCCUGGCUAUCACAGUGACUGGGGUGAAUACGUCAGGAGCUGCUGGUCACUGCUCUGGGACAGGCUGGGCAUCAGUCAGUGGGCGGUGAGAAAUUGUGUCCCAGAUCUCCUGUUUCUCAGGAGUUUCAUGUCUCACUCUCUCUCCUUCUCAUUACUAUUAUUAUUGUUACUGUUAUUACCUAUAACAGUAUUA